AAGUGAGAAUCUUAUUGGCCGAAAACCUAAGGUUUCCUGAGGAAGGUUCGUCCGCUCAGGGUUAGUCGGGACCUAAGCCGAGGCCGAAAGGCGUAGGUGAUGGACAAUCGGUUGAUAUUCCGAUACCACCUAUUUACGUUUGAGAAAUGGGGUGACGCAGUAGGAUAAGAUGUGCGCACUAUUGGAUGUGCGUCUAAGCACUUAGGCAUGCUUGAUAGGCAAAUCCGUCGAGCUAAGCUGAGGUGUGAUGGGGAGCCAUUUAUGGCGAAGUAUCUGAUUCCACACUGCCAAGAAAAGCCUCUAUCGAGUGAAUAGGUGCCCGUACCGCAAACCGACACAGGUAGGUGAGGAGAGAAUCCUAAGGCCAUCGGAAGAAUUGCUGUUAAGGAACUCGGCAAAUUGACCCCGUAACUUCGGGAGAAGGGGUGCCUACGAAAGUAGGCCGCAGAGAAUAGGCCCAAGCAACUGUUUAGCAAAAACACAGGUCUCUGCUAAAGCGAAAGCUGAUGUAUAGGGGCUGACGCCUGCCCGGUGCUGGAAGGUUAAGGGGAACACUUAGCGUAAGCGAAGGUGUGAACUUAAGCCCCAGUAAACGGCGGCCGUAACUAUAACGGUCCUAAGGUAGCGAAAUUCCUUGUCGGGUAAGUUCCGACCCGCACGAAUGGCGUAAUGAUUUGGGCACUGUCUCAACAGCAAAUCCGGCGAAAUUGUAGUGCAAGUGAAGAUGCUUGCUACCCGCGAUUGGACGGAAAGACCCCGUAGAGCUUUACUGUAGCUUAGCAUUGAAUCUCGGUAUUGUCUGUACAGGAUAGGUGGGAGACUUGGAAACUUGGGCGUCAGCCUGAGUGGAGUCAUCCUUGGGAUACCACCCUGACAGUACUGGGGUUCUAACCGGCGGCCAUGAAUCUGGUCACGGGACAUUGUUAGGUGGGCAGUUUGACUGGGGCGGUCGCCU
rnacentral:rRNA from 1 species